rnacentral:rRNA from 1 species
AACGAACGCUGGCGGCAGGCUUAACACAUGCAAGUCGAACGCCCCGCAAGGGGAGUGGCAGACGGGUGAGUAACGCGUGGGAACAUACCCUUUUCUACGGAAUAGCUCUGGGAAACUGGAAUUAAUACCGUAUACGCUCUACGGGGGAAAGAUUUAUCGGGGAAGGAUUGGCCCGCGUUGGAUUAGCUAGUUGGUGGGGUAAAGGCCUACCAAGGCGACGAUCCAUAGCUGGUCUGAGAGGAUGAUCAGCCACAUUGGGACUGAGACACGGCCCAAACUCCUACGGGAGGCAGCAGUGGGGAAUAUUGGACAAUGGGCGCAAGCCUGAUCCAGCCAUGCCGCGUGAGUGAUGAAGGCCUUAGGGUUGUAAAGCUCUUUCACCGAUGAAGAUAAUGACGGUAGUCGGAGAAGAAGCCCCGGCUAACUUCGUG